CGGAGCGGGGUCUCGCGCCGACUUUGCCGAGAGGGCUCCUGCUGCCCGCGCCGCGGAGCCCUGCGGGCCGGACGCACACUCCGGCGGCCGCCGCGUCCGGGCGGGAGCCCGAGCCGAACCGAGCUCGCCCAGCCGGUAAAAAGAAGAAAGACGGAUCAUAACCCAAGUCUGAAGGGCUCUGCCCAGAUUCUUGAGAGUCAGGCCAAAGAGUAGAGGCUGCCCCAUCUUCUCCUGGCUUCAGCUCAGCAGUGACUUCUCAGGCCCUCUGCCCAGCCCUCAACUGUGGUUCUUCAGCUCCACCUCCAGUCACCUGAGAUGCCUGGGUCAAGAGCCUGAACUUUGACAUCAGAAAGUGUUAGACUCAAAUCCCAAUUCUUCUGCUUAAUUCACUGUGCUUUUUAACAAAUUACUUAGUUAACAUUUCUCCUCUACACUUGGUUUAUUUAUCUUUGGAAGUUGAAAACCAAUUUCUGUGGGAAGCUAUAAAACUUAAAUGAGAUUAACAUAAAGGCCACAGUGCUUACCAUGUCAAAAUAAAUAGCAAUCAUUAGUGUUAAUGUUAAUGGUUCUGUCCAGAAUCUCUUCACUCCAUAGGCUAAAUGCUGUUUCUGCCGUGCUCUUGGGCCUCUGUAUCACUGGCUCUGGGCCCUGAGUAGUGAGUGCAUUGUCUAUGACUCCAUCUGUGUCUCAACCAAAGCUAGUCUGAGGCAACUCCCUGUUCUGUACAGCCUGAACUCUUACAUUUCUGCAGGUCCACCAGCAGCCCCAAGCCCCGCGGCCAGGCUUCUCUAACCGUGAUGGCAUUGGGGUGAGCAGGGAAAAUGGUCCUGUCUUUUCAAUUCCUCUCCACAGUUUAUCUUUUCAAUUACAAUGUGUUAGCAAGAAUGCCUGUUACUGUUACAAAAUGGAUUUUCCUGACAUGGGAGCCCAUUAGAAAAAUGGGAACAGUAGCAAGCGAUAAGAAUGGCUGAUGAAUCCUAACACUGUGGGUAGAAAGAAGGGGGGUGGGUUCUGUCUUUAAAGACACGUCAGUGGGGCAGAUAAGCAAGCCCUGGGAUGCUAAUUUUUAACCUAGCAUUUUCCAGAAGGGGAGGAAGGCCAUGGAUCAUCACCCUACCAGUCUCAUUUAAGGUGACAAGCAGGUCUCACCCUAAUGGCCUUCAGGGGAAUCUUAGCUUCCUAGCAUAUAAUAGAGGCCUGAGUCCCUGAGAUGCUUUGCCUUUUGAUCUGGCAUCUCUCUUCUCUUGGGUUUUCCUGUUUACAGUAGACUAUUAAAUUCCACCAAAAAGAAAAAUCAUGAGGAACAAUAGCAGCUUAUAUUUUGGAGCAUUUAUCUUUUACCAGAGGCUGUGCUCAAAGUCUUAGCUUAUUUUAAUACUGAUAAUGAUCCGAUAAGGUAGGAAUAAUUAGAAUCCUCACCAAGAAAAGAAGAAACCAAGAUUUGGAGUGGUGAGACAAUUUGCUAUAGGUCACAGAAUGAGAAAACAAUGUGAUAGAAUGGGCUUUGUGGUUUUUCUAGCCUGAUGUUCAUCUGAUAUGUCUGCCCUCUUUCUGAGCCUGUUGUAAAUUCAACUGCCCAACCAGGAGGUAAAAGCCGUAUACCCCUGUACAAUGCCUUAUCUCUGAUGUAGGUCUCCAAAGCCUAAUUACAUAGCUCUUCUCUUUUGAAGAGGCUCUUUCUCAUUAGCAACUAUAAUUUCCCAAAUCAGAAGACUAUGGCUACUGGCGUGUCUCUGAUACCUAAGUGAAGAGGUCUCAUAACUAAUAUGAGUCAUGCACUGAUUUCCUUCUAUUUCCAAGAAAACUUUGCUAGAGUAUAGGAUAUUCUCAACUGUAGAUUCUCCUUCCAUGAUUUUCUUCGUAACUGUUUGGAACUUGUACCUGCUAACCAGCUGGGUAAUGGUGGUAACAGUGCAACUGGGCCAGUAGCAAGCAAAUGAAUACCAACAGAAAAGUUUGGUGAUGUGUGAUCUUUCACGUAGUAUAUAUUAUGUCUCGGGAUACAGAGGAACUUGGCUGCAUAUGAAAUUGUUAUAUUUUUUCUCCAGUAAGACUGUUCUUGGCUUGUAGUGAUAAAGUGAAAGUUAUCUCUA